rnacentral:ncRNA from 1 species
GGUCCUUCCCAUAACCCGGACGGGAACGAAAAAGGAGGAACGUCCCGCCGGCCGGCGGUGCGGCAAUGCGGAGAGUUGCCGUAAGGUCCCCGGGACAGCCCCGGGCGGCGAGACCGGGCUUGCCCAGGCAGUCCGGCCACGGCCCACGCCUAUGGCA